rnacentral:lncRNA from 1 species
UUUGCAUGUGAAUGCCUAUGGUUUUAAAAUUCAUUUUCCUUAUGUUACUAACCAUUUUAUUCCUUAUCCUACAAUAGGUGUCAUCUCCCCAAGUGGAAUGUGGUAACUUCCGUAAAGGUCCUUCAGGUAUUGCUGUAGCACAACAGAAAGAACAGUGGGCCAGAAGACAGGGAGGUCUGGGUCUAGAAGCCCAGAGACUCCACAUCCCGAGUUACACAUCCCCUUUCUGGUUGCCAUGAGUCAUCACGCACCUUCUGCCCAGAGGAGAGUUUUAUUCAUGCCUGCUUGAAAAG